UACAGAGGUCUCAAGCGUUGUCCGGAUUUAUUGGGCGUAAAGAGCUCGUAGGCGGUUUGGUAAGUCUGGUGUGAAAUCUCCACGCUCAACUGGGCGGGGUCAGCGGAUACGGUCGAGCUUGAGCAAGCUAGGGGGCAAUGGAAUUCCCGGUGUAGUGGUGGAAUGCGUAGAUAUCGGGAGGAACACCAGUGGCGAAGGCGGCCUUCUGGACGGAUACUGACGCUGAGACGCGAAAGCGUGGGGAGCAAACAGG
rnacentral:rRNA from 1 species